AUUGAACGCUGGCGGCAUGCUUUACACAUGCAAGUCGAACGGUAACAGGCCUUCGGGUGCUGACGAGUGGCGAACGGGUGAGUAAUGCAUCGGAACGUGCCCAGAGGUGGGGGAUAACGCAGCGAAAGCUGUGCUAAUACCGCAUGUGAUCUGAGGAUGAAAGCGGGGGACCAGGCAGCAAUGUUUGGCCUCGCGCCUUUGGAGCGGCCGAUGUCAGAUUAGGUAGUUGGUGGGGUAAAGGCCUACCAAGCCGACGAUCUGUAGCUGGUCUGAGAGGACGACCAGCCACACUGGGACUGAGACACGGCCCAGACUCCUACGAGAGGCAGCAGUGGGGAAUUUUGGACAAUGGGCGCAAGCCUGAUCCAGCAAUGCCGCGUGCGGGAAGAAGGCCUUCGGGUUGUAAACCGCUUUUGUACGGAACGAAAAGGCUCUGGCUAAUACCUGGGGCUGAUGACGGUACCGUAAGAAUAAGCACCGGCUAACUACGUG
rnacentral:rRNA from 1 species